GAAACGCGAUAGUUAAUGUGAAUUGCAGAAUUCAGUGAAUCAUCGAGUCUUUGAACGCACAUUGCGCCUUUUGGUAUUCCGAGAGGCACGCCUGUCUGAGCGUCAGUAAAACCCCUCGGCUAGUAAUUUAUUGCAAAGCCGGUCUUGACGGGGAACCCUGCUGGGCGACUGGAGCCUAAACCCUUCGGGGUGGACGGCGUCCAGGGGCCCGGCCCCCCGUUUAAAUCGGAGAGCGGAGCACCGCCCCACGGCGCCGCAAAAAUAGUAGUGAUAUUCUUUUUGCAGUGUGCUUAGUGUCCGGCCGCUAUAAACCCCCAAAAUUUUGAAUUUUGACCUCAGAUCAGACGAGGAUACCCGCUGAACUUAA
rnacentral:misc_RNA from 1 species